rnacentral:lncRNA from 1 species
GUUUGGAACCACCAAGACACUUCCUAGAGCAAUCGGGGGCGAAGGGCCUUUGUCAGGGAGGUGACCAAGAACCUGAUGGUCACUCUGACAGAGCUCCAGAGUUUCUCUUUGGAGAUGGGAGAACCUUCCUGAAGGACAACCAUCUCUGCAGCACUCCACCAAACCUGCUCCAGUGCAUACAGCCAAGACAACACAGGAGUGGCUUUGGGACUGAAUGUCCUUGUGUGGCCCAGUCAGAGCGUAGGAGCUCAGAUGCAAAAAUGUAAUAUCCAACGUUUCGACAGCCAAGCUGUCUUCAUCAGGGUAUAAUCACAAACACUACGGGAUGACUCGUUUAUAUAGUGUCCAAAGACACACAGGUGUCUGUAAUCAUGGUCAAGUGUGGCCUAAUAUCAUUGGUUAAUUCUCAAAUAUAAAAAUGGCAUACAAAGAACAGCAUACAAAAAAACAAAUAGACUACACAAGCUUACAAACAAUUACAAUGGCAAAGUCACAAUCACAAGAAUGGCUUCAGAUCAAAGUCUAUGUUGAGACCGAAGGGAGCAAGGGUCUUUAAGUUGAAGAUCCAGGCAGCCUCUCGUUUUAACAACAAAUUAUCAAGGUCACCCCCUCUCCUAGGGAGGGUGACAUGUUCGAUGCCAAUAUAACGCAGAGACGAAAUCGAGUGGUUUGCUUCCAAAAAGUGGGCCGCAACUGGGUAAGUCAAGUUUUUGCACCUAAUGGUGCUACGAUGCUCUGAGAUACGUACUUUUAAUUCGCACUUCAGUCCCAAAGCCACUCCUGUGUUGUCUUGGCUGUAUGCACUGGAGCAGGUUUUCAUCAAGGAUCUCUCUGUACUUUGCUCUGUUCCUCUUUCCCUCAAUCCUGACUAGUCUCCCAGUCCCCGCCGCUGAAAAACAUCCAGAUGCUGCCAUGAUGCUGCCAGCACCAUGCUUCACCAUGCUUCACCGUAGGGAUGGUGCCAGGUUUCCUCUAGACAUGAGGCUUGGCAUUCAGGCCAAAGAGUUCGAUCUUGGUUUCAUGGUCUGAGAGUCCUAUAUGUGCCUUUUGGCAAACUCCAAGCGGGCUGUCAUGUGCCUUUUACUGAGGAGUGGCUUCCGUCUGGCCACUCUACCAUAAAGGCCUGAUUGGUGGAGUGCUGCAGUGAUGGUUGUCCUUCAGGAAGGUUCUCCCAUCUCCAAAGAGAAACUCUGGAGCUCUGUCAGAGUGACCAUC